GAGUCAGUUGGAUAGUCGCAGGCUAUGAAAAUAGCGUGAGGAAAGUCCGGGCUUCAUAGAGCAGGAUGCCGGAUAACGUCCGGUGGAGGUGACUCUAAGGAAAGUGCAACAGAAAUAAACCGCCUGUUUUUCAGGUAAGGGUGGAAAGGUGAGGUAAGAGCUCACCGCUUCUUUGGUAACAAAGAGGGCUCUGUAAACCCCAUCCGAAGCAAGUUCAAAUCGGGACAUUGAGGCUGCUCGUCUCGUCCUGAGGUAAAGAACGCUUGAUGUUAUCGGUGACGAUAAUACUAGAUAGAUGACUAUUUAAAACAGAACUCGGCUUAUAGACUGGCUCA
rnacentral:RNase_P_RNA from 1 species